rnacentral:tRNA from 1 species
UGAAUAGUAGCACAAUGGUAGUGCGCUUCACUGUUAAUGAAGUGGUUGCAAGUUCGAGUCUUGCCUAUUCAG